rnacentral:ribozyme from 13 species
GGAAUACAAACUGCGAAAAACAACCAAAGAGCAAAGAUCAACAUAUCUGUCAGUCUUUCUGCUUCCAUUUGAUCUUUUGUUUUUUGAAGUGGGACGACGGAUGAUGAGGUUGUUUCUUUUGGUUUCUCAAUUGGUUGGAUCCGAGGAGAAGGAGAGGGAGAGGAAGAAGGAGAAGGUGAAGGUGAAGGAGAGGAA